UGGGGAAUUUUGGACAAUGGGGGAAACCCUGAUCCAGCCAUCCCGCGUGUGCGAUGAAGGCCUUCGGGUUGUAUAGCACUUUUGGCAGGAAAGAAACGUCAUGGGUUAAUACCCCGUGAAACUGACGGUACCUGCAGAAUAAGCACCGGCUAACUACGUGCCAGCAGCCGCGGUAAUACGUAGGGUGCAAGCGUUAAUCGGAAUUACUGGGCGUAAAGCGUGCGCAGGCGGUUCGGAAAGAAAGAUGUGAAAUCCCAGAGCUCAACUUUGGAACUGCAUUUUUAACUACCGGGCUAGAGUGUGUCAGAGAGAGGUGGAAUUCCGCGUGUAGCAGUGAAAUGCGUAGAUAUGCGGAGGAACACCGAUGGCGAAGGCAGCCUCCUGGGAUAACACUGACGCUCAUGCACGAAAGCGUGGGGAGCAAACAGG
rnacentral:rRNA from 1 species